AUAGGGGAGCCGAAGGGAAACCGAGUCUUAACUGGGCGUUAAGUUGCAGGGUAUAGACCCGAAACCCGGUGAUCUAGCCAUGGGCAGGUUGAAGGUUGGGUAACACUAACUGGAGGACCGAACCGACUAAUGUUGAAAAAUUAGCGGAUGACCUGUGGCUGGGGGUGAAAGGCCAAUCAAACCGGGAGAUAGCUGGUUCUCCCCGAAAGCUAUUUAGGUAGCGCCUCGUGAAUUCAUCUCCGGGGGUAGAGCACUGUUUCGGCUAGGGGGCCAUCCCGGCUUACCAACCCGAUGCAAACUGCGAAUACCGGAGAAUGUUAUCACGGGAGACACACGGCGGGUGCUAACGUCCGUCGUGAAGAGGGAAACAACCCAGACCGCCAGCUAAGGUCCCAAAGUCAUGGUUAAGUGGGAAACGAUGUGGGAAGGCCCAGACAGCCAGGAUGUUGGCUUAGAAGCAGCCAUCAUUUAAAGAAAGCGUAAUAGCUC
rnacentral:rRNA from 1 species